UACGAAGGGGGCUAGCGUUGCUCGGAAUCACUGGGCGUAAAGGGUGCGUAGGCGGGUCUUUAAGUCAGAGGUGAAAUCCUGGAGCUCAACUCCAGAACUGCCUUUGAUACUGAGGAUCUUGAGUUCGGGAGAGGUGAGUGGAACUGCGAGUGUAGAGGUGAAAUUCGUAGAUAUUCGGAAGAACACCAGUGGCGAAGGCGGCUCACUGGCCCGGUACUGACGCUGAGGUGCGAAAGCGUGGGGAGCAAACAGG
rnacentral:rRNA from 1 species